UUACACAUGCAAGUCGAACGGGCUUAAAGAGCUUGCUCUUUAAGUUAGUGGCGAACGGGUGAGUAAUAUAUCGGAACGUAUCCAAUAAUGGGGGAUAACUAAUCGAAAGGUUGGCUAAUACCGCAUACGCCCUACGGGGGAAAGCUAGGGAUCUUCGGACCUGGCGUUAAUGGAGCGGCCGAUAUCUGAUUAGCUAGUUGGUGAGGUAAGAGCUCACCAAGGCGACGAUCAGUAGCUGGUCUGAGAGGACGACCAGCCACACUGGAACUGAGACACGGUCCAGACUCCUACGGGAGGCAGCAGUGGGGAAUUUUGGACAAUGGGCGAAAGCCUGAUCCAGCCAUUCCGCGUGAGUGAAGAAGGCCUUCGGGUUGUAAAGCUCUUUCGCAAGGGAAGAACACUUAGUCUCUAACAUAGACUGAGGUUGACGGUACCUUGAUAAGAAGCACCGGCUAACUACGUGCCAGCAGCCGCGGUAAUACGUAGGGUGCGAGCGUUAAUCGGAAUUACUGGGCGUAAAGCGUGCGCAGGCUGUUCUGUAAGUCAGAUGUGAAAUCCCCGAGCUCAACUUGGGAACUGCGUUUGAAACUACAGGACUAGAAUAUGUCAGAGGGGGGUAGAAUUCCACGUGUAGCAGUGAAAUGCGUAGAGAUGUGGAGGAAUACCAAUGGCGAAGGCAGCCCCCCUGGGAUAAUAUUGACGCUCAUGCACGAAAGCGUGGGGAGCAAACAGGAUUAGAUACCCUGGUAGUCCACG
rnacentral:rRNA from 1 species